rnacentral:rRNA from 1 species
CCUGGUUGAUCCUGCCAGUAGUUAUAUGCUUGUCUCAAAGAUUAAGCCAUGCAGGUCUAAGUACAGGCCCUAUACGGCGAAACUGCGAAUGGCUCAUUAAAUCAGUUAUGGUUCCUUAGACACACCACAUCCACUUGGACAACUGUGGAAAAUCUAGAGCUAAUACAUGCGAGCAAGCUCCGACCUCACGGGAAGAGCGCAUUUGUUAGUACAAAACCAACCCGGGUUCGCGCCCGGCCAUCUUGGUGACUCUGAACAACCUUGGGCUGAUCGCACGGCCUCGCGCCGGCGACGCAUCUUUCAAAUGUCUGCCCUAUCAACUGUCGAUGGUACGUGCUAUGCGUACCAUGGUUCUCACGGGUGACGGGGAAUCAGGGUUCGAUUCCGGAGAGGGAGCCUGAGAAACGGCUACCACAUCCAAGGAAGGCAGCAGGCACGCAAAUUACCCAAUGCCGACACGGCGAGGUAGUGACGAAAAAUAACAAUACGGGUCUCUUUCGAGGCCCCGUAAUUGGAAUGAGUACACUCUAAAUCCUUUAACGAGGAUCUAUUGGAGGGCAAGUCUGGUGCCAGCAGCCGCGGUAAUUCCAGCUCCAAUAGCGUAUAUUAAAGUUGCUGCGUUUAAAAAGCUCGUAGUUGGAUCUCGGUUCCAGGCUUGCGGUCCGCCUCGAGGUGGAUACUGCUCGUCCUGUGUUCGACGUCGUGGUGGUUCCUUGGUGCUCUUGACUGAGUGUCUCGGACGGUCCCGAACGUUUACUUUGAAAAAAUUAGAGUGCUCAAAGCAGGCGUAUCGCCUGAAUAAUUCCGCAUGGAAUAAUGGAAUAGGACCUCGGUUCCAGUUUCGUUGGUUUGCGAAUCCUUGAGGUAAUGAUUAAUAGGGACUGCCGGGGGCAUACGUAUUGCGGCGGGAGAGGUGAAAUUCGUGGAUCGCCGCAAGACGAACGACAGCGAAAGCAUUUGCCAAGAAUGUUCUCAUUAAUCAAGAACGAAAGUCAGAGGUUCGAAGACGAUCAGAUACCGUCGUAGUUCUGACCCUAAACGAUGCCGACCGUCGAUCCGCCGGAGUUACUACCAUGACUCGGCGGGAAGCCUCCGGGAAACCAAAGUCUUUGGGUUCCGGGGGGAGUAUGGUUGCAAAACUGAAACUUAAAGGAAUUGACGGAAGGGCACCACCAGGAGUGGAGCCUGUGGCUUAAUUUGACUCAACACGGGAAACCUCACCCGGUCUGGACACUGCAAGGAUUGACAGAUUGAGAGCUCUUUCUUGAUUCGGUGAGUGGUGGUGCAUGGCCGUUCUUAGUUGGUGGAGCGAUUUGUCUGGUCAAUUCCGAUAACGAACGAGACUCUAGCCUGCUAAAUAGUUCGGGGACCCCCACAAAGGGGCCCCGCUUUAACUUCUUAGAGGGACAGGUGGCGUUUAGCCACACGAGAUUGAGCAAUAACAGGUCUGUGAUGCCCUUAGAUGUCCGGGGCCGCACAUGCGCUACAAUGAACGGUUCAACGUGCUUAUUGCCUUGCCCGAGAGGGCUGGGAAAUCCGCUGAACCCCGUUCGUACCAGGGAUUGGGGAUUGCAAUUGUUCCCCAUGAACGAGGAAUUCCCAGUAAGCGCGAGUCAUUAGCUCGCGUUGAUUACGUCCCUGCCCUUUGUACACACCGCCCGUCGCUACGACCGAUUGUUCCAGUUAAUGAGCGAUAUGGAUGAGUCCCGUGAUCGGCUUGUCCGUGAUCGUUGGGCUGAGAAGUUGGACAAAUUAUCUGGGGUAGAGGACGUAAAAGUCGUAACAAGGUAUCCGUAGGUGAACCUGCGGAUG